rnacentral:rRNA from 1 species
GAUGAACGCUGGCGGCGUGCCUAAUACAUGCAAGUCGAGCGAACAGAUAAGGAGCUUGCUCCUUUGACGUUAGCGGCGGACGGGUGAGUAACACGUGGGUAACCUACCUAUAAGACUGGAAUAACUCCGGGAAACCGGGGCUAAUGCCGGAUAACAUUUAGAACCGCAUGGUUCUAAAGUGAAAGAUGGUUUUGCUAUCACUUAUAGAUGGACCCGCGCCGUAUUAGCUAGUUGGUAAGGUAACGGCUUACCAAGGCAACGAUACGUAGCCGACCUGAGAGGGGGACGGCCCACACGGAAAGGGGAACCGGGCCGAGACCCCACGGGGGGGAGGAAGUGGGAAAUUUCCCGAAAGGGGGAAAGCCCGACGGGGGAAACCCCGCGGGAGUAAGAAGGGUUUUGGGUUUGAAAACCUUUUUUAUUGGGAAAAAAAAAAUGGAAAGUAACUGUGCACGUCUUGACGGUACCAAUGCAGAAAGCCACGGUUAACUACGG